AGUGAACGCUGGCGGUAGGCCUAACACAUGCAAGUCGAACGGCAGCACAGUAAGAGCUUGCUCUUACGAGUGGCGAUUGGCGGACGGGUGAGGGAUACUGCGGAAUCUACUUUUUCGUGGGGGAUAACGCAGGGAAACUUACGCUAAUAGCGCAAACGAGCUACGGGUGACAGCAGGGGAUCUUCGGACCUUGAGCGAGUGGAUGAGCCGAUGUCGGAUUAGCUAGGUGGCGGGGUAGAGGCCGACCAAGGCGACGAUCCGUAGCUGGUCUGAGAGGAUGGUAAGCCACACUGGAACUGAGCCACGUUCGCGACUACUUCGGGAGGCAGCAGUGGGGGAUAUUGGACGAUGGCAGCAAACCUGAUCCAACCCGACCGCACCGGUGAAGAAGGCCUUCGGAUUCUAAAGCCCAAUAGUUGGGACAGAAAAGCAGCACGUUAGCACCCCGCUGUUCUGACGGUACCCAAAGAAUAAGCACCGGCUAACUUCGGG
rnacentral:rRNA from 1 species